UAAGUGAGGUAUUCGCUGAAUGAGAAAUAACAGGUAGACAUGUGAGCAAGAUUCAGCACCAAGUCAAAUCGUCACUUGUGCUUUGCGAUUUGUUCAGGCUGAAAAUAUCACAAGCUUUCACUUUUAAUAUGAGGGUUUCCCAAAUUUAGCUACAAAAUUGUUGAAGCGAAAGGCUGGUUUAAUAAUUGAUCUGUUCGGCGAGUCGCUCCGGAAUGGAGACAGUUAUCCAUCAAAAGCAAGAGACGACAUUUUAAGGGUGUCAAUAUUUGGGUUAAGAGAAGCCGUUAAAAUCCACAAGCGAUAACGUAUCUACGUCUAACUCAGUGUCUGGCUAUGCAGAAUAUGCAAGCUUGGAGCUGAGGAAAGUUUACCUGUUGUCAAGUACAUUGCGAAAGAUUGCUGGUUUUCAUGGUGGUAUUAUCCCGCGAUUAAAUCUUUGGUUAAACAGCUUUGUCGAAAUUUCUUCGAAGAAAGACAUAUCGUGAAGAUCAAAACAGUGUAUCAUAAAAGAAGAUCGGUCCACUGGCUAUGUAUAAUAAAUUCCAUGUUGUACAGACAUCUCGUUUCGUUUGCUCAAAUGCACUUGCAAGAGCAGAAAGUUCCAAGUGACUUCAUUGACAGGACUACAAGCACAGACAUUUCGUCGCUCGCUUAUCGAAGCUCAUGUAAAAUUAGAAGCCAAACCAGAUUGGCCAAGGAAAGGCGAAGAGUAACUAUCAAAUCAGCUGAUAAGCUUAUCUGUCCAGUCAAUUCACGGUGAUGGCACGCACGUCAUGACAGAUUUCCGUGGCAAGAAUACAAACAGGAUGGGCGUGUCCUUCGUUUGACAGGAUCAGAAAAAUGAAAGCACUGCUUAAGUGUUAAAGCACAGUGUUCUUGUGUGGCCUCAUCAAGGUUCCUACAGCGUACAUAUCACGUAGUGUUCAGGGAAGGCAAACAGGAUUUUUCGGAGUGGGGUGUGAUAAUAUCAUCGUCACGGUUACGAAUUUCUGCCCAUCUUGUUAUAUACUGCUGCCCUACCUUUUGUUGUAUCAGCGGGCUCAUAAUCACGCGAUAAGAUCGAGAAAGACCGGCAGAUGGCGGUCUGGAGUGUCAAACACUGGAAUAGAUUAGUGCUGUGCAGAUUCUAUUAAAACCAAUCAAAACUUGAUAUAGAAAUAUCUCAAGGUCUUUUGAGUUAAGAUUGAAGAUGCAUUCGCCUAAUAGUUUGCGAGCUGAUCAAACUUUUAAUUAAAGAUCCGAGUUCAAACCACGGCCAGGGUUAUUGUGUGGUCGGGUAGAUUUUUUAUUCUCACGGUGCCCCCUCUCCACCGGGGAAAUAAAUGAGUGCUAGUGAACUAUCAGGGAGACAUGAUGAAAUUCUCAAAGUGGAGUGGGGGGAGGGGGAUGUCUUCACCUACCUGCUCCCUUUCAGGGGGAGAGAGGGGCAACAUGGCGGUUCAAGCCACAGAAAGCUCCGACACCUUAAUCAGUCUCACAGUCUCGAAUGCAGGCUUUAGCUUAAGUCAGAUAGGUUCCCCACCAGAUACGCAUAAUCGAAGCAAAUCAGAACUGAGCAAAGUAAAAUUAAGCAAACAAAGGAAAAGCUAAGCACUAAAAAUAAAACAAGAAAUACAAACGAACUAAAGAGGCAAACGAAAGAAAAUUAAAGCCAAAAACUACAAAGACUAGAUUAAGGAAACUAGCAAAAGCAAAGAUAGGAAAAGUUACAGAAAAACAAAUACACUCUAGGUUUAAUUACUUUGUUUUAUAGAUUUUAGUUCAAAUGAGAUUUCAAACCUAAAUUAGAAAAUUAACGCGUUGCAAGGUAAAAAUAUGAUUUUUUUUUUACUGAUUCACAAGUCAUGCAUUCACAUUUGACGUAAACAAAAAUACCUAUAAAAAUAGUCUGAUUGUAUAAAAAUACCGUCUUUUACUGCUACUGCUGCUGUACACUCAUAUCGUUAUUUCUAAUACCUAUCACUGAAGACUAAUUAUACGGUCUGAUAUGAUUUCAGUUACUAUCUCAAAGUCUAUUCACAUGGCGGCCAAGGAAAGCUAACCAAACUUAUCCAAACCAGUACCAGCACAAGCUGCGCCACUUUCCCAACAUCUGUCCGUCGCGCGAGUUACAAGAAACCAGAACAAAACAACAACAAAAAAUGCUUUUCAAACCUUUUCGUCUGCUAACUAACUUAAAGGGAACACCUCUACUUGAGAUACACUAUUUCUGGUCUCACAAGCCCUCCUUAAACAGACGUCCCAACCUAGAAAAAUCACUGAAUUAAAAAAAUUAACACACUCAGGAUUGGAGAGUACUGUAGUUGGCAUAAAAGAUUAAUAUCUCCGCCAGAAAUUCCCCACUUAUAAGGUUUCCUAUUCUUAGAAACAAAUUUGUUUUAAGCUUAACUACGUGUAAUUAUUUUACAAUUGAAUAUUUCUGAAAUCCAGUUAACUGACUCGUACUAAUUUAAAGGACUAUUCCAUUAUGGAUUAAGUAUUAUGAAAAAUUUUAUCUCGUUAUUACAACUACAUAAAUUAGUCCAAUCCAGUUAUUUCCAUUCACCACUCAAGGGCGAUUUUGAUCUGGGUGGAAUUUAACCGUCAGAGGAAUGUGUGUUAUCAGCUGCGACAAGCAGAUUUAUUGGAACAACGAAGAGGCCGAUUUUCAGUACUUUAUACUGAAGUAAGAACAAGUAAUUCGUACAGAAUCCGCAGAAAACGGGAAUAAAACCAAAAAAAUUCCAAAAAUUCCACAAAAUUCCAUCGGACAAAUGCCGAACCCUUGGUCCGUCUCGCAACGCUCUCCAGAAUAGAAAAGUAGCGUGACGUUCCCCGAAAAGCUUCCAGCUAAACAAAUCGGGCAGUAGAAGUUGGUAGUAUAUUUCCUAAAUGGCAUAUCCUGCAACUUAUGCUAAUGCUUCCGUUUAAAAAAGGUGACCUGAGUAUAACCAUUAUCUUAAAAGUAGGCCCGUCUUCA
rnacentral:lncRNA from 1 species